rnacentral:rRNA from 1 species
CGGGAGUAACACCUGGAAACAGAUGCUAAUACCGGAUAACAACAGAUGAUGCCUAUCAACUGUUUAAAAGAUGGUUCUGCUAUCACUCUUGGAUGGACCUGCGGUGCAUUAGCUAGUUGGUAGGGGUAACGGCCUACCAAGGCGAUGAUGCAUAGCCGAGUUGAGAGACUGAUCGGCCACAUUGGGACUGAGACACGGCCCAAACUCCUACGGGAGGCAGCAGGA